GUAGGUGGCAAGCGUUGUCCGGAAUUAUUGGGCGUAAAGCGCGCGCAGGUGGUUCUUUAAGUCUGAUGUGAAAGCCCCCGGGCUCAACCGGGGAGGGUCAUUGGAAACUGGGGAACUUGAGUGCAGGAGAGGAAAGUGGAAUUCCACGUGUAGCGGUGAAAUGCGUAGAUAUGUGGAGGAACACCAGUGGCGAAGGCGACUUUCUGGCCUGUAACUGACACUGAGGCGCGAAAGCGUGGGGAGCAAACAGGAUUAGAUACCCUGGUAGUCCACGCCGCAAACGAUGAGUGCUAAGUGUUGGGGGGUUUCCGCCCCUCAGUGCUGCAGCUAACGCAUUAAGCACUCCGCCCGGGGAGUACGGUCGCAAAGACUG
rnacentral:rRNA from 1 species